rnacentral:rRNA from 1 species
CUACGUGCCAGCAGCCGCGGUAAUACGUAGGGUGCGAGCGUUAAUCGGAAUUACUGGGCGUAAAGCGAGCGCAGACGGUUACUUAAGCAGGAUGUGAAAUCCCCGGGCUCAACCUGGGAACUGCGUUCUGAACUGGGUGACUAGAGUGUGUCAGAGGGAGGUAGAAUUCCACGUGUAGCAGUGAAAUGCGUAGAGAUGUGGAGGAAUACCGAUGGCGAAGGCAGCCUCCUGGGAUAACACUGACGUUCAUGCUCGAAAGCGUGGGUAGCAAACAGGAUUAGAUACCCUGGUAGUCCACGCCCUAAACGAUGUCAAUUAGCUGUUGGGCAACUUGAUUGCUUAGUAGCGUAGCUAACGCGUGAAAUUGACCGCCUGGGGAGUACGGUCGCAAGAUUAAAACUCAAAGGAAUUGACGGGGGCCCGCACAAGCAGCGGAGCAUGUGGUUUAAUUCGAAGCAACGCGAAGAACCUUACCAGGGCU